UACGUAGGGUGCAAGCGUUGUCCGGAAUUAUUGGGCGUAAAGAGCUCGUAGGCGGUUUGUCGCGUCUGCUGUGAAAACGCGAGGCUCAACCUCGCGCCUGCAGUGGGUACGGGCAGACUAGAGUGCGGUAGGGGAGAUUGGAAUUCCUGGUGUAGCGGCGGAAUGCGCAGAUAUCAGGAGGAACACCGAUGGCGAAGGCAGAUCUCUGGGCCGUAACUGACGCUGAGGAGCGAAAGCAUGGGGAGCGAACAGG
rnacentral:rRNA from 1 species